UGCUGGAACCAGGAGUAGUUAUGCAGAAACUAUGCUAUGUAGUAAUGAACUCUGAGCAAUCUGGUCUGAGAUGAAGAAGGUAACCUGUGCCAGAUUCGUUGGCUAUGAAUAAUAUAAAGGCUCUGAUCAAGAAAAAGAUGGAGUUAGCACUGCAAAACCACCUAACGCAACAUACUUUUCUCGUAACAUUUCUGUCAGAUCCCUCACCAGAUGUGUGUUACAGACUUGAUGGGAAGAAAGACAGUGCACUAUCACUUUCUGGCAAUCCGCUGAUGGGCUGCAAGACUGAUGAGAACUCUCUCAGACAGUUUCUUCAACAGUGUUGAAGCUGACAUAGAAGUACAUAUGGAGUCCAUAAGCACUAACAAUUCUUAUGCAAUGAGAAAAGAAGACAGUUAUUUUCCUCUGCUGUAUUUAGUUGGCAUAAAAUUAAACUGAAUCCACCAGUUUAGAAAUGAAGUAUAUUUUAACACCUUCAAAUAUCACAGGGAGGUUUAUUCACAGGUUUGGGAGUUUUAUCAGAUUAGACUAAUAGGAUGUGCUAAUGUUGUCUGGGAAGUGGGAUGUUGUGAACUUAGUAAUACUGUGUCUUUAAAUGGAGAGAUAAAGUGGAAGAGUUUCUUGUGAAAUCUUGUUGGAUAUUUCAAUUCCUAUAGUGAGAAAGAGGGCAAAUUUAACUGGAGCCAAAAACUUCUGACUGAGGAUUGAAAAAGUGGAUAUUUGAUAUCCAGUUGAUACUAUAUGAGAAAUCACCACUGAAUUCACUACGUCAUCCUUGAGUUAUGUCCUUUUUUGGUUUUUGAUUCCAUAAAUAUUUUAGCAAACAAUUUUUUUUUCAGUAGAAAAGUAUAUGGAAAGAAGAUAUCUUAACUGAGUGUUUAGUUAUAAUCCCAAAAUGUUAAACAAAACUCUAAAUUUGUGCACUUAACAUUUCAGUAGAGGCAAUGUCUAUGCUUUCUAACCAAUGCAGAUUUCAAAUUGUAUAUUUAAGAUUUAUAUGAGUGCAUCAGUUGAGUAUUACAUAACACUUGACACACAGUGUUGUUCAAUAAGAGAGAGAAUGCUGCUCCACUUUUCCUGUGCUGAGAGAUAACGCCUUUUUCAUAAUUAUAGAAUGGCAACAGAAGUGGAAGCUCUCAGCCAGAGCGCUGUGCUAAUGCUGCAAAAAAUCUGAGAUUGAUUUGGAAAAUAAAUUUAUUUUAAUUGUGUUUACACUAAUUUUAUGUUUGCUUUCUGAUGUGAAUAAAUACUCUAUAAAGGUCUUUAUGUAAAUCAGUGAUGCAGACUCAUUUGGAGUCCUGCUUGCAAUAUGGGUUGCCUUGCUUUGGAAAGGAUACUGAAAAAUUAGACAAGUUUAGGGACAGACAAUAAGAAAGAUGAUGAGCAUAAAAAAACCCGUAAUCAAAUCUUUUUAUAAGAAAAGAAUUUUUUAAAUUAUUUGGAUUACUUAAUUUAGAAAGGACAAAGGCAUAAAGAUGACAAGCAUACUUCUUACAUAAAGAUGAGAAGAACAAAGUAUUAUAACUGUAAAAAAUAACAGAUAAUUUAUCAAGGAUUUGUCAUCCAAGCUCAACGUAAGAAAUUAUCUUAUGAAAUGAAAAGUUAAGGAAUUCAACAGUAAAUACCUCUUCACAGAAUAUAUAUAAUUGGAUCAAUUAGAUAUAACAUCUGGGAAAGAUGAGCACUAAUUGUUUUCAGAGGGAUGAUACUGUGUUAGAUGGAUCUGCAGUCUAAUUUUUGUAUAGCAAUGGUUAGUUCUCAUACUAAAAUAAAAUGAGUAAAUUGCAGUGCACUACAAUUUAAGUGAAAAGCAAAAUUAAUAUUAAAAAUAUAAAACUCUCAUAUGCCACAAUACUUAAAAAUAG